AAACACUGCAUAAACAAUCAGCUCACAUGUGUGUCCCAGAGCGUAUGACCAAUGACCUGGAGAACUCUCAGGCUGUGGGGUGGAGAGAAGGCCAUUCUGAGGUCAACUGAAACCUCACUUGAGGGGCAGUUCCGUAGAUGGGAAUGAGGAGAGAGUCAUGGCCACAGCCACCUGGCCAAGGAGAGAGGCCAUAACUGCCAGACAGAACCAAGGAUGGAGGGACUUCAGCAGCACGAACAAUCCACACUCAGCAUGGGUCACUCUCUGGGACACACAUUUCCCUCUGGCUGAAAGGCUGAGCUGCUCCAGGGCCAACUGUGAGGAAGAAGAGACCACUCACCUGUAAUUUCAACAGCAACAAAAGACCUGAGGUUCCACCAUCAGAACUUCACGCCCUAAGGAAGAUGCAGCAUUUCCUGUAAAAUGCAAGUGCUCCCAGGCAGAGGUAGCUCCCGAAGCCAUGAUCAGUUAUGUAUACCUUAGUGGCAGCUGAUUAACAGACUCUUCCCCAGAGCCAGCUGACAGGAAGCACAUCGGGGUAAAAGGGAAGAUGAAAACUUGGGUGCCUGGAGGAAGGGAACAAAUGCGAGCAGGAGCAUGGUAAUAACAUAGGUAAAAUAGCAGACGUUUAUACAUUACACCUGUGUGCCAGGCACUGUUGUAAGUACUGGAUAGAUAGACAGAUAAGUGGAUAGAUAGAGAGCUAGAGCUAGAGAGAGAGAGUGAGAGAGAGAGAGAGAUUUAUUCUGGCAAUAGUACAAUGCCAUGGGUGUUGUUAUCAUCACCAUUUUACAAAUCAGGAAACGGAGGCCCAGAAAGUUCACAUGUGCUGGUCUUUGCCCUCCAGACCCACCCUCCACCUUUCUCCUCCCUGCUCUGUGUCCUGAGGGCUGAUCUCUGCCCUCAACUUUACCCACUGCCUUGUCCUCUGGCUUCUAGUUGGACUCAGCCCACAGGGGCAUUGGCAGGAGUACAGGGGGUCAGAGUAUUUGCCCAGCUUCCUUCCUACCAGCCUUGGUUUUAGCAGAGCUGCUUUCCUCUUCCCCUGGCCACAGGUCCCACCCUCGGCCCCUCUCCCAGGGCUCUAGCUGCCACCACUUUCUUCACAUGCCCCUUGCCCUUGCUCCUGACCCCUCCAGUCCCAGAGGUUGCACAGCCUUCUGGGGCUGCCCCGUGCUUUGUGGGUUCUGCACACACCUCUGUAAACAGCCCCUCCUGCAAACUCUGCUCAAACAUCCAUCUCCUGUGGGACCCUGCUCAACAUCACUCAUCUGGUAAGAGCUAGAGGCGGAAUUCAAACCCUGGCCGUCCAGCUGCAGGCUGCCAAGAGCCUCUCAGCCACUAUGCCCGUGCCCCUCAUCAGUAAGUGUUGGCAACUCCUGAGCCUGCUGUGCAUCAGGGUCUCUGUGCAUUGCUCUAUGGAAUGGGAUCCCACAGGACUUGGGUCCUGAGGUCAGUGUUUAUGAGGGAACGUGGCAUUUGUGACUUUACAUGACAGUUGCGCUCAGCAGGGUGGACUCACCUGAUGCUCACAGGCCUGAAACUGACAGAGGGUCUGGAAUAUUCCUGCCAUUUGUCUUGUCCUCAGUCCUGACUGAGUGUUCUUUGAGCACUCAGCCAUAUUUGAGCACAACAGCCAUGUCAAAGAUGAAAAUCAGUCCAGGCUCUUUGCUUUGCCAAGGGGGAAACUGAGGCCCAAAGAGGGGUGUAGUUUGGGCCAGGUCUCCUGGCUCCAUAUGCCAGAGGAGGCAUACAGCUCUGAGCAGGAAGGAUGACUGUUUCCAUAGGAGAGCGCCAAACGCAAGGUUGGCAGGAGGGGUCGGAGCUCGGCGUCCUCACCACCACUGACAUUCCAAGGCUCCUCCGUUGAAAGCUUUAUUUGGAGCCUAAAAGCUGGUAAUUGGGAGAAGUCAGUGUGACUCAUAUACCAACACUGUUUUUGUUUUUCCUUUCUUAAAAUUCUCAACUACUGGCUAUUUUUAUUUCAGAGCCAGAAUUGAUUUCGUGGCUUUCUUUCUCCUCUUCUGGGAUUUUGUGCCCUAUUGCCACAGAAACCCUGGGCCCCUUCCCCAGCUGUCAUGAAGGUGCCUGAGUGAUGGUCAGAGAGAUGACCGGAGGGGCCCACCCGGCCACCGCAGCAGCAGCAGCCAAGGCGGGACUAAGCCUCCACACCCCACAUCUCAGUCGUGGCCAGCCCGGGAUGCCUGCCUCUCCUGCCCUGUGGUGUUGCUGUCCUCAUAUGACCCUUCAGUCCCCCGACAUCUGGACAGGCUUUAGGGACCUGCUUGAGCAGAACAUGGUAGAAGUGAUGGACUGGGGCUUCUGAGGCUAAGCCAUAAGAAGCCUUGAGAAUUUCACCUGGCCCUCACUGUCUCUGGGAGCCCUGAGCCAUGAUAGAAGAAGUCCUUCCUAUAUUGAAUGUCCUUGAGACCUCCAGUACUGGAAAGGGCAUUUGUAGAUGCUCAGACCAACAGUCCAAACUGAGCCCAGUCUGCCAACUUGCCCUGCCAAGGUGUCAGAUGCAUAUGUGAAUGAGACCAUCCUAGACCUGCUGAUAGCCCAUCACCCGGCUGACUGCUACUGAGUAACCUCUGCCAACUUCACGCCGAACACAGAACUGCUGAUUUGAACUCUGCCUGAAUUUCUUGGCCCACAGAACAAUGAGAUAUAAUUAAAAGGCAAUGGUUC
rnacentral:lncRNA from 10 species